rnacentral:rRNA from 1 species
AUUGAACGCUGGCGGCAGGCCUAACACAUGCAAGUCGAGCGGCAGCGGGAAAGUAGCUUGCUACUUUUGCCGGCGAGCGGCGGACGGGUGAGUAAUGCCUGGGAAAUUGCCCAGUCGAGGGGGAUAACAGUUGGAAACGACUGCUAAUACCGCAUACGCCCUACGGGGAAAGCAGGGGACCUUCGGGCCUUGCGCGAUUGGAUAUGCCCAGGUGGGAUUAGCUAGUUGGUGAGGUAAUGGCUCACCAAGGCGACGAUCCCUAGCUGGUCUGAGAGGAUGAUCAGCCACACUGGAACUGAGACACGGUCCAGACUCCUACGGGAGGCAGCAGUGGGGAAUAUUGCACAAUGGGGGAAACCCUGAUGCAGCCAUGCCGCGUGAGUGAAGAAGGCCUUCGGGUUGUAAAGCACUUUCAGCGAGGAGGAAAGGUUGAUGCCUAAUACGUAUCAACUGUGACGUUACUCGCAGAAGAAGCACCGGCUAACUCCGUGCCAGCCGCCGCAGUAA